UAGGAGCGAAGCUUGCUCGCGAUAGCGUCCUGCCAGCCGACAUCGCUUGAGCUUGAUGCCGCUGAUCGCGAGCAAGCUUCGCUCCUA
rnacentral:misc_RNA from 1 species